GCCCCUGUAGCUCAAUGGGAGAGCAGGUCCUCGGACCAGACAUUGGUUCAAUUCCGACCGGGGGCA
rnacentral:tRNA from 1 species